GACGAACGCUGGCGGCGUGCUUAACACAUGCAAGUCGAACGAUGAAGCCGGAGCUCGCUCCGGUGGAUUAGUGGCGAACGGGUGAGUAACACGUGAGCAAUCUGCCCUUGACUCUGGGAUAACUGCGGGAAACUGUAGCUAAUACCGGAUACGACACCUUGGGGCAUCCCAGGGUGUGGAAAGAAUUUCGGUCAAGGAUGAGCUCGCGGCCUAUCAGCUAGUUGGUGAGGUAAUGGCUCACCAAGGCGACGACGGGUAACCGGCCUGGGAAGGUGACCGGCAACACUGGAACUGAGACACGGUCCAGACUCGUACGGGAGGCAGCAGUGGGGAAUAUUGCACAAUGGGCGAAAGCAUGAUGCAGCAACGCCGCGUGAGGGAUGAAGGCCUUCGGGUUGUAAACCUCUUUUAGCAGGGAAGAAGCGAAAGUGGCGGUACCUGCAGAAAAAGCACCGGCUAACUACGUGCCAGCCGCCGCCGUAA
rnacentral:rRNA from 1 species